AACAACAAAGUGCAGGAAACAUGUACUGGGUCACUGAAAAAAUAUAAUCACUUGCUCAACAUAAUCUUAAGAGUUUCAUGAUUUUGUUUUGGUAGGUAAAUACAACGUUUUAUUGCACGUUAAACUACUUAAGAAAUGCAGGUCGGGAUUGUAUUCCAUAUAUUUCUGAGAUGUUCUUUACUUUCUUGCCCAUCCAGCAAUAGUUACUUCUAUAAAUCCAAGACCAUGCAAUAAAGCUAGGAAACAAUGGUACAUGGAAGAAAAAAUGGACUUCAGCUUCCUCUAAGCACACGUAACAUCUUAAGCAUAUGAUUUCACUAGCAUGUGGGAGGUUUGCUCGAGUUAGGUCAUUAUGACAUGUAGUCCACUCCAAGAAAAUUAACUCUGGUGCUGCUUUGCUUUGCCAAAUACACCUCCAAGUUCUUGUUCCAAAUGAGUCAGUAGUUUUAAACAGAUAACAGGACUUUAUCAACUGAGAAAAAAUUGUAGGUAUUUCUAUUCCAUUUAACAGAAUCAGGUUCACUACAUCACUACGUAGAGAGCCCGACUGCUUCAAGAAUUUCUGUAAAAGACGAAGUUCUUUCUAUUCUCUAUUUACUGCAGUUUCUCUUGAAAGCAAAUUCCUACCCUAAUUAAUCUUGCAUCGAGCAAUGGUUCUAUCUAAAUCUGCCACCAUUUCUUGUAACAAGAUCAAUAAGUAAUUAUGGAUUAAAAAAAAUCCAUCUCAGCAACAAUUCCAUGUAAGAAUACUUUUACAUUUUAUGUCUGAAAAGAUAAAAAUUUAGAAGAUUUCUCACUAAUGUAUAACUUAGAAAUAUGUAAAGCUAUAAAGUUGAAAGUAAAACUGAAAGAGAGAGUUCUUAGUACAUAGAAAAGUAUAAAAGGUUGAAUAAAUGAAUACAAAAUAUUUUUUUAUAGAAAAGAAGGACCAGAAGCAUAAGGGAUGAUGAAAACAAGAGAUACAUGAUUUGACCAAUCAGAGGACAAAGAAGUGCAGAAGAAAUUGUAAAGCAAGAAAUAACCAAUUCCAAGUUUUAAGAAAGAAGCUUUGACAACAUUACAUUAGAUGCAGAAACUAUAGGUUAUGCCAAAUAUAUAGAAGCACUUAUCAAAAUUAAGAAUGAAUGCCAAAAAUAUGUAAUCGCUUUCAACUCCGCACUUCAAGAAGGAAGAGAUGCAAAUUCAACUUGCAUAAACUUGAAAAUAGUAGUUAAAAGAGGAUUUUCCCUUCGUUUGAUUGAAAGGAAGGAUCUAAGAUUUGAGAAAUAGUCUUGCAAAUUUGGCCUACAUUUGUUAAGUCCACAUUUGACAAAAGUUUUAAGUACUUGCAAUGUUUACCAAUUUAGACAACUGAUUUUUUUUAAGAAGUCACAAUUUCAUUUAUAAAUUAAACAACAACACAAGCAAUACAGUUCAUGAAGUAUGAAGCAAAUCUGCAGUUGAGCUAGAAGAAAACCACACAAAUCGUAAUUGAUCCAAAAAUAAAAGCAUUUCUCUGAAGGCACCAAAAUAGCAAGGAAUGGUAGAAAAUUAGAGUAGACAACAAUAAUCUCCUUCAAGAAAAAAAUAAGAUAAGGAAAAAGCACUGGCUCCUAUUUUUUUAAUGGGUAAUCAUCCCCUAAACGGAUAUUUUUGUCAAUGCUAUACUGAUAAAUUAGUAGUGUAUAUUUUUAAUGCUUUUCCUUGAAGAGAAAAAGAUACAAAAGGGGAAAAUAAGAAGAUAGAAAGAGCUUUAAGGAAGAUAAUUGUGAUUGUUUCUGUUCUUCGAAACCCCCAGCGAUAGAAAGUUAUCUAUGAAACUCAUUUAAAGACAGUUUGGAAAAUAUUGUACAACGAAGAAAAAAUGCCAUGUAGCUAAGAGCUUAAAAUAAUAGAUAGGCUUAAAAUAAGAGCCAAGGAGAAAGCUUUUUAGACAGACUUGUAAGUCAGCCAAGCAAAGUGCCUCACGAAUAAUAUUAAGAGAGCUUUCCCUAGAUUGUUGCUAUCCACAUUUUACCUCAGAUUAGAAAGGAUACACAAUCUUAAAAUCAAGCAUGAAGUUUUUUGUUCUUUCAAGUAUUAAGAAUUCCAAAACACUUCUUAACAUUAUAAAUUGGGAAAUAUAAACUGAAUUCCUAUCAAAUCAUGGUUUGGCGACCUCAAGUUUCAUGACAAAAGUUGCUCACACUCAAAUACAAAGAUUCUUGGUGUACUACUCUUUUCUUCAUAUGAAAAUUUGGUCUUUGUAUCUAAAUAUUAAAGUGUUGCUGUGUACACACAAACAUAAAAAAAUAUUGUAGAAUGUCUUAGCUUUUGUGCUUAAUUUCUAGCAUCGUAUACAAAAUUUAGUUAUUUCAUUUUGAAAUGGCGAGGGUUUUGUAGGCAUUGGGAGAAAAUUAAAAUAUGCCAAUAAUAGACAUUUUAGAAAUCAGAAAGAAUGCUAACAUUUCGUUACAUUUAAAAUUUUGUAAAUAAUCUAUCUACAAAUAAGCCUAUGAAAAAAAUUAUUAUAGGGUUGGUACAGUGAAGUACUAUACAUUGCAUCGCAUGAAGCCAUAAUUAAAGCAAUAUUUACUUUCACAUGCAGUAAAAGAAAUAAAUUACCCACAAAAUAUGGUUAAAGACCUGAAACAAAGAUACUACGUGAUGUCUUGCUUGUGGAAUGGCGACAAGAUGACUAAAAUAACACAAUUAUAAUAGUACAAUAAUAACAAAUACGAUCGAUUCAUUUUACUGAGCUGGCGUCUUAAUAUUGCAUAAACACAUUGCACUGUGCUUAUAUUUUUCGCAUACCCAGUUUCUCUUUAUGCGUUGUUUGAGGAUUGAUAGUUGAAAUAGACCAAGAAAAUAGUUAAAACGGAUAGCAUGAAUAUGUGCAACUAUCCAUUUAGGAUCAUAAAGUAUUUCCUAACAUAACAGAAAGGAUAAGAGGAGAUAGUACGUAUUUCUUCUUGAAACAUAAAAAAGUAAACAAGGAUUUCCAUUUUUAUUCUGCUAAGCUUCAAAAUUUACCUUAGCAACUCUUAUUCCAACACAGUUCUACAAGAAUAAAUAUAGCGGCAUCCUUGAUGCCUGCAACGAAAAAUAUUUCAGCUAAUUACUCAUUUAAAAUGACCAAAGCCUUUAAUCCGUCAAAAGAUAAAGGAGACAAAAAAAUAUCAAAACUAAAGAGCACUUUAAUGGAAUUCAGCAUACGCUCGCAACCCAUUUAUAAAUACCACAACCUCUUAUGUCUCAAAGAUAAUGGAGACUGAAUAAAAAGGAUUCGACCUAGAACUAACAGUAAGUACUUUUCUUCUUUCUCAUGAUUUGGGAGCUUAGUCCAUAUCAUUUCAGGAUGAUAUGUCAAUUAAACAUUGCAGUGGACAAAACUAACAGUUGGCUAAAUGUAAACGUUUGUUAAAUGUUGUCUGAUUAAAAUCUCCAUAUGGUGAGUGUUUUCAACCAUGUCACUACAAUAUUGAUGAACAAAUUCCCAUAUCAACAUGUUCAUAUUCAACAUAAAGAGUUAGUUCCAGAAUUUGUCACAUGCGUGUCUUAGGAAAUCAACUAAAAGUCAUUAUAUUAUGUUUAAUAACCCAAUGAUGUUAGACUUGCAGCAAGGUAUGUGCCACACCUCUAGACAACAUUACACCAUAAGACAUUAGAAGAAGUCAUCAAAGGUUUCAUUAGCAAACUUAACAUAUUUAGCAACCUAUAAUAUGGGUCCAAUGUAAAAAAAAAUAGAGAACAAGAAAAAACGAAAGAAAGAAAAGAAACAAGCAAUAGAGGUAGUCCUAGAUAAAUACAUUAGAACAAAAUCAAGGAAAGCAGCAUUGAUGCAAUGCGGAUUGCCAGUACAACUAUUGAUCGUUCUAGUAAGCCACAACACACUAAUGAAAAGAUACCUACCUCUAAGAUGCAGGAUAUCACUUCUUUUGAUGGUAGCAUAAUGAUACACCAAUUGCAUGGAAAAUGUAAGUCCUGUAAAUACAAAGAUUAGUUAAAAAUAUUCAUAUGCACAUUCAUAUAAUACUAAAAGAUAGAAGAGCACAUGCCAAUAAAUAUUCAUAUCUUUGCAUAGAUUACAAAAAUUAUGAUGCUCAACUAUACCACAUCCAUUAACUGCUCGUCAUCAGAGCUCAAGUAUCAACGAAACCCCUUUCAUUCCAUUUCAGAUAAGAUUUAAACAUGUCACAUGUGCCCAAUAAAGAUUGGAUUUUUAUAGGGUUUAAAUGAAAAUAUAUGAGAAAUAUCCAGAGACUACAGACUUUGAUUUCUAAUCUAAGAAUACCUUAAGGUGAGAAUCCUAAAAAAAUUUACCACUAAAUCAACUAAGCAGCCUGAAGAAUAGAAAAAAGCACCGAAGAAAGUUGAGAAACACUCCAAAACAAAAAGCUCACACUUAUAAGAAGCGAAGGAGAACUCUGAAGUUGAGCAAUAAACGUAUCACAAGAGAACAAGGGCUAAAAGGGAUACCUGAUGAGCAGCGGAUAUUUGAAGAGAGUGACAUGAAAUUCAGCAGCAUUUGUUUCCUUAAAAUUCAGUCUUGCACAAUACUAAAUAUUCUUUGCCUAAUAGUAACCAAAAAUUAGCAAAGCAAUCAGAAAUUCGAUAAAUUGCACAUGACCUAGAAGCUAUUUUCCCCAAAAUAAGACCUUCACUAAUUCUAUAUUCUUUAGAAUAUGGAAUGAACAAGGACAUAGAAGAGAGAAUGAACGAAUAUAUUAAGAAAGUAGUGUUUCAGAA
rnacentral:lncRNA from 1 species